rnacentral:rRNA from 1 species
UACAUGGGGUGCAAACGUUGCUCGGAAUUAUUGGGCGUAAAGCGCACGUAGGUGGUCUGUUAUGUCAGAUGUGAAAGCCCUCGGCUUAACUGAGGAAGUGCACCUGAAACUGGCAGGCUUGAGUACGAAAGAGGGUCGCGGAAUUCCCGGUGUAGAGGUGAAAUUCGUAGAUAUCGGGAGGAACACCAGUGGCGAAGGCGACUACCUGGCCUGUUCUUGACGCUGAGGCGCGAAAGCUAGGGGAGCAAACGGG